UGGGGAAUAUUGCACAAUGGAGGGGAACUCUGAUGCAGCGACGCCGCGUGAACGAAGAAGGCUUUCGAGUCGUAAAGUUCUUUUAUAUGGGAAGAUAAUGACGGUACCAUAAGAAAAAGCCCCGGCUAACUACGUGCCAGCAGCCGCGGUAAUACGUAGGGGGCUAGCGUUGUCCGGAAUCACUGGGCGUAAAGGGUUCGCAGGCGGAAAUGCAAGUCAGGUGUAAAAGGCAGUAGCUUAACUACUGUAAGCAUUUGAAACUGCAUAUCUUGAGAAGAGUAGAGGUAAGUGGAAUUUUUAGUGUAGCGGUGAAAUGCGUAGAUAUUAAAAGAAUACCGGUGGCGAAGGCGACUUACUGGGCUCAUUCUGACGCUGAGGAACGAAAGCGUGGGUAGCAAACGGGAUUAGAUACCCUGGUAGU
rnacentral:rRNA from 1 species